UUUCCGUAGGUGAACCUGCGGAAGGAUCAUUACAGAGUUCAUGCCCUCACGGGUAGAUCUCCCACCCUUGAAUAUUUAUACCUUAGUUGCUUUGGCAGGCCGUGGAAACACCAUGGGCUCCGGCUUAUGCGUGCCUGCCAGAGGAAACAAACUCUGUUUUUAGUGAUGUCUGAGUACUAUAUAAUAGUUAAAACUUUCGACAACGGAUCUCUUGGUUCUG
rnacentral:misc_RNA from 1 species